rnacentral:tRNA from 1 species
CGGGGUGUAGCGCAGCCCGGUUAGCGCACUUGCAUGGGGUGCAAGGGGUCGGAAGUUCGAAUCUUCUCACCCCGA